GAUUUUUUUUUUUGCUUUAAACUAUGAAUACUAAAUGUAGUAAGCCUUCAAGAUGCUACAACUGGAAGCACUGUGAAUUCAGCUUCUCAGACACCUUCUAUCACAAUGUACUGUUCCCCUCCAAAGUGACUGUCUUAAUCUGUUUCACAUUUCUACAGGGAAACUUCUGAGGAAACUACUUUCUAAAGGAAACAUUUUGGCCCAUAGUUUUAAAAGUCAGUGUCAAGGGAAUGCAUUUGGCGAAGGCCUUCUUACUGGCCAAGUCCUCAGGUUAUUCCGGGAAUCCCAUGGCAAACACCAAGGAGCACCUUGCAUAUGUGCCCAGGAGUUAUCAAAGUUGAACAAGGAGAUGGGAAGAGAAGGGGAUGCGAUUCUGCUGCCGGGAAAGAGGAGGCUGUGAGGGGAGGUAUGCAUGAUGGGAGACCACAACUGACAAGCACAGGUAAACUUGAAAACCUCCUCUCUUCAUCGCCUGGAGCUGUGUGGCAUACUUCACGGGCUCAAACACUGUCUCGUAAAAUGUAUGGAGAGCAGAAAUCUGUUAUGUGAAAUUAUAAAUACCAUAACCCUGAGACACAGAAAUGGAGCUUGAAGAGCUUCUUUUGUAUCACUAGAAGAAUAACCACCCAGAGUUUAGAUUCAAAACAAGCUGAUCAACUUUGGUGUGGAUGGCAAGAAGGAGAAAACACAUAGAAGAGGUCAGCUGUCUUGUGGAGGAGCUUUGUCUUCACUGGGGUCCUGAAGGCCAUACUGACCUUCUCCUAUGCACAGAGCUGAAAGACUGGAAGUUUAAACAAGUCUUGGAAAGAAUGACUUGAGCCAGGAAUGUGGCUCAGUGGUGUCGCACCUGCCUGGCAAGUACAAGGUCCUGAGUUCUAUCCCCAGUAUCAAAAAAGAAAGAAAGAAAGAAAGAAAGAAAGAAAGAAAGAAAAAGUGAGUCAAAAAGAAAAGAAAAGAAAAAGAAAGGAAGAAUGACUUAAGCCUCAUAUGUGGUGACUCCAUGGGGAACUUGUAACUAACCCCGUAUGAAGCAAUGAAUGGAUGGUGUCUAUAUACUUACAAUGUAUUAUUAAAAACAAAACAUUACUGUUUAAAAUUAACCAUUAUAUUUUCUUGUGUCUCCUUAUGCAAUUGUUUCAGGGACAAUGUGUUGGGCACAUUAUAA
rnacentral:lncRNA from 1 species